UUCUUCAGGGCAGGGUGCAAUUCCCGAUCGGCGGUAAAGUCCGCGAGCGUGUAAACGCAGGAGCGAAAGCUCAGGAUUUGGUGAAAUUCCAAAACCGACAGUGAUAGUCUGGAUGGAAGAAGAA
rnacentral:ncRNA from 1 species